AUAUAUAUACAUACACACAUAUAUAUAUUCCAAGCGCAUGAUCAUAUUUUAUAUAUAUAUAUAUAUGUAUACAUAGAAAAUAUAUUCAUUAAAUUUAAUGACAAGUUGGCUGGUAGGUUAUGGAAUACGUGUAAAACAGGUGGUACGACUAUUUACAGGAUGUCGCUUUUUUAUUUUCAUGUAUCCUCAUGAGAUUGUCUCCUAUAAUGUUAUCUCGCAGUAACCGGGAAUCGAAGGACGCUCGACGAUUAGAGGACAUACACAUAACUGAAAGUUACAAUAAUAUUUACUUUGAUAACAUUUAAUCCAGUUCAUGUUUCGUUUGAAUAUUUGUAAGAAAAUUAUUUUACAAACGAGAGUUAAAGAAAUAAAAAAUAAAUAAAUACUUUUUUCGACUAUUUAACAACGAUUUUAAAAGAUUAAUUUCGUAAAUUGUGUGAAAUUUGGAUUUAUUAAAAUUUAUAUUUUAAUUAAAAUUUACAAAAGGAUAUGGAAAAGAUAGGAAUUUGGAACUUUUAUAUGCUAAAUCUUAUUAGAGCUGAAUAGAGUGAAAAAUAGCACGAUCACGUAAUGAACUCAACUGAAUCUCGACUUUCAAAUACAUUGUAAUAUAAUUGACUGAAAGAUUACUAGUUCAAGAAAGUAACAAAACUACAUUCAACUAGUUGAUCGUGUAUAAUAUAAAAGAGAAGACUGCACAAUCAUGUAGCCCGAGAAAUUCGUACUUAAAACGAUGUCAUGUGAACCUCCUCCGUCAAUUAAUCCUCUCUUGAAACGGCAGUUUCCCGAAAAAUUUUUUUGAUCGAAUUUUUCGGGUACCAACCGAUAUUUUUGGCUCAAUAUUGGGGAUUUGCAUUAGGAAAAUAUGAUGCGUAAAGAAAUUGUCCUCGAAAUCGUAUACAAAUUAGACAAUGAUUAAUUAAUAUAGUACGGAUAUGUAUUUAUGCAAAUUCGUAUUUUUGUAUGUUCAGGUUUCCCAUAAAUACAUGCAAAUUUGCAGCCUACUAAUUAAUUUAUUUUCUAUUUGCGAAUAACGACUCGAAUAACUUAUUCGUAUUUAUAAAAUUCGUGAUCUAUUAUCCGUUAUUAUACUUUAUACUAUCGUUGAACUUUUUGCUACAACAUAGCCGUUGCAUUUGUCCAACACUGAUGUAAACAUCCCAAUUCUAGAAAAAUACUGUAGGAGCAGGACACAAAAAUUGUUUUCACAAUAUACAAGCAAUGUGUUAGAAUUCGAACGUAUUUAGAACUCAUAUAAAGGUUAGAUUCAUGAUACUCUAAAGGAAUCAGUACUAUUACGGCAGCCCAAACGAACAGGACGAUAGUAAGAAUAAUUUUCAACAGAAUAAUGAAAGUACCAGAGGUGACGGUUCAAAAUCUUAGCUCGGCGUUCUUAUGUAUCCAGGAACACUUGCCGAAGGGGCUCAUUUGCGAAGAGGUUACAAUAUUGUUGGAUGUACACAACAUCAGCUGGUCAGCGCUAUGUGUCGCUACAGAUGCUUUCCUUACGCCGAAAGAUGCUAAGAAUUGUGUCCCUUUAAAACGACUUUUGCAGACGAGCUUCGGAAAAUAUGGCGUAGUGAGAAGGGUACAAAUUAGCAUUCAGAAGCAACCGAAUGGGGAUGUAUCGUACAAGUGGCAAGUGUUGAUAGAUCCACGACAUCCUAGACCUAAGGCAUUUGGUGUGUACAUACAGGAUACAUUGCAGCACUAUCUUGAAUGCACCUCGGAUCAGAUACAUAACUAACUGAAGCUUUUACCACCUGACGAAAUUAACACAGUAGAUAUCAAUUAUAUGUAAAAUAAUCCAGCAGCCUGAUAGAGAUAGUAACUUUUUAUGACUAUUUGGCUAUAGCUGUUGUAAGUUUGACACUACAACGAAUGAUUUUAAAGGCUGACUAGGUAAAAAUGAAUAUCUUAGAUCAUAUUUUAUAUGACUAAUUUUUUUUCACAAUAUGAAUGCUAUUUUAACGUCUUUUGCACGACAAAGAUCAAGAAUGAAGAUAUUGCGAACGUAAAGAUAUAUUACAUAAUAUCUUAUUUUUAGUACUAUUUUAAUGUCUAAACUUUAAUAAUUUAUACAAUUGCUUUUUUUCAUAACAUAAAUAUUUUUUAACAUUUUUUUCAUAAACCGACAACGAAAAAUAACAAGAAUGAUAGAAUAUUUCACAUAAUAUUAUAUGGUUUUAUUUCAACGACUAAAAUUUAUUUUAAUAUAUAAAUCGAUUUCUCGUAAUAAUAAAUCUAUAGAAAUGCGAGCUACCGUCGAAUUAGCUAGUACAUUUAUGCUUAUUACAUUUGUAAUUUUUUUGUAAACGGUUCUCUUUGGCAACUGUUUCUGAACGCAUAAGUGUGCGGAGUUAAACUUAAAUGAAUUUUAAUCAUUGUAAUAAUAUAAAUUUAUAUUUUACAAUAUAAAGAAAUAAAUUUCGUAAAUAUUGUAAAAUUGAUAAUCUAGAAAAAAUAAGAAUUUCGGAGUCAAGAGUACGGGAUUGACGUUGUGAAUAAAUGUGCACAGGCACGUAAGUUUACAUACA